UACGUAGGGGGCGAGCGUUGUCCGGAUUUACUGGGCGUAAAGGGCUCGUAGGUGGCCAACUAAGUCAGACGUGAAAUCCCUCGGCUUAACCGGGGAACUGCGUCUGAUACUGGAUGGCUUGAGUCUGGGAGAGGGACGCGGAAUUCCCAGUGUAGCGGUGAAAUGCGUAGAUAUUGGGAGGAACACCAGUGGCGAAGGCGGCUCACUGGACCGGAACUGACGCUGAGGCGCGAAAGCGUGGGGAGCAAACAGG
rnacentral:rRNA from 1 species